GGGUUGUGAGGUUAAGCGACUAAGCGUACACGGUGGAUGCCCUGGCAGUCAGAGGCGAUGAAGGACGUGCUAAUCUGCGAUAAGCGUCGGUAAGGUGAUAUGAACCGUUAUAACCGGCGAUUUCCGAAUGGGGAAACCCAGUGUGAUUCGUCACACUAUCAUUAACUGAAUCCAUAGGUUAAUGAGGCGAACCGGGGGAACUGAAACAUCUAAGUACCCCGAGGAAAAGAAAUCAACCGAGAUUCCCCCAGUAGCGGCGAGCGAACGGGGAGCAGCCCAGAGCCUGAAUCAGUGUGUGUGUUAGUGGAAGCGUCUGGAAAGGCGUGCGAUACAGGGUGACAGCCCCGUACACAAAAAUGCACAUACUGUGAGCUCGAUGAGUAGGGCGGGACACGUGGUAUCCUGUCUGAAUAUGGGGGGACCAUCCUCCAAGGCUAAAUACUCCUGACUGACCGAUAGUGAACCAGUACCGUGAGGGAAAGGCGAAAAGAACCCCGGCGAGGGGAGUGAAAAAGAACCUGAAACCGUGUACGUACAAGCAGUGGGAGCACGCUUAGGCGUGUGACUGCGUACCUUUUGUAUAAUGGGUCAGCGACUUAUAUUCUGUAGCAAGGUUAACCGAAUAGGGGAGCCGAAGGGAAACCGAGUCUUAACUGGGCGUUAAGUUGCAGGGUAUAGACCCGAAACCCGGUGAUCUAGCCAUGGGCAGGUUGAAGGUUGGGUAACACUAACUGGAGGACCGAACCGACUAAUGUUGAAAAAUUAGCGGAUGACUUGUGGCUGGGGGUGAAAGGCCAAUCAAACCGGGAGAUAGCUGGUUCUCCCCGAAAGCUAUUUAGGUAGCGCCUCGUGAAUUCAUCUCCGGGGGUAGAGCACUGUUUCGGCAAGGGGGUCAUCCCGACUUACCAACCCGAUGCAAACUGCGAAUACCGGAGAAUGUUAUCACGGGAGACACACGGCGGGUGCUAACGUCCGUCGUGAAGAGGGAAACAACCCAGACCGCCAGCUAAGGUCCCAAAGUCAUGGUUAAGUGGGAAACGAUGUGGGAAGGCCCAGACAGCCAGGAUGUUGGCUUAGAAGCAGCCAUCAUUUAAAGAAAGCGUAAUAGCUCACUGGUCGAGUCGGCCUGCGCGGAAGAUGUAACGGGGCUAAACCAUGCACCGAA
rnacentral:rRNA from 1 species